rnacentral:rRNA from 1 species
UACGGAGGGUGCAGGCGUUAUCCGGAUUCACUGGGUUUAAAGGGUGCGUAGGCGGGUAAGUAAGUCCGUGGUGAAAUCUCUGAGCUUAACUCAGAAACUGCCGUGGAUACUAUUUGCCUUGAAUAUUGUGGAGGUGAGCGGAAUAUGUCAUGUAGCGGUGAAAUGCUUAGAUAUGACAUAGAACACUAAUUGCGAAGGCAGCUCACUACACAAUCAUUGACGCUGAGGCACGAAAGCGUGGGGAUCAAACAGG